UUUCUCAAUUCUUGAUUCUUAUAAUCAAUAUUAACCUGGUUGUUGUGUUGACUUUAUAGAUCUUGGGUUAGAUAUGUAGUUGCAUUGAUCCGUAUGUUGUGUUACGAUAUAGCAAAUGCCAGGUCCACAAGACACAAUGCAACAAACCCUAUUGGAUGAAGGAUUUUCAUCUAAGAACCGGCCCAAAUGCAAACAGUAUCCCUUUUUCAUUUCUUUCAGUUUUAAGCAUUUUAACAAGGGCCUCCUGAAGAACCCAACAAACACUAUUUAGGUCUACAUUUUCAUUGAAUGAUUUGAAAAGUUUUUUACUUACUAGUUUUUAUUUCCUUGUCUCAAGUGCCUUAGUGUAGCCAUAACAAAGGCCUAGAGUAUUUGGUAUUUUCAUUGCUGCCUCCAUGCCUCCCAAAUGGAGUCACAAGACAAUCGUGAAAUUGGAAUGGAACCCAAACAUGAGAGCUUGCACCCCAUCCUUUACCAUCCUCAUUGACCAGGUCACGGGCCAAACAUCAACAUCUCUUCCUUAUUUCACAACCCACUUGGGACAGACUUACCAACAUGCCACCACAAUGUCCAUUGAAGCUCACCUAUCUCUGACCACCUCCCCCAGUUUCAAAUCUGCCACCUAGGCCACCCAAACACCAGAUUGUUCUUUCGGAAGGAUCUGACCCCUUACACUGACAUUUUCGGGCAGACCAAUACGUUGCCUUCUACCAAAUCCCUCUUGAACAAUGUCUAUCCAUGGUGGCUUCCCAUAUGAAGGAUGAUGCCCUGAGUUGGUUUAAAUUGAUGCAUCAAAGCAACUUCCUUAUAGAUUGGGUGUCCUUUACAGGCUCCCUCUGUUUUGGUCCAUCCUCCUACACCAAUCACUAGGCAAAACUAUUCAAGUUACACCAAACCGGGUUAGUUACAGAUUAUCAAGUAUGUUUUGAAAACUUUGCAAUUGUACUAUUGGCCUCUCCUAGGACAUUGCUCUUAAUUAUUAUUAUUUUUUGUUUCUUUCUCCAGAUACUUGUUGUGAAAUAACCAUACUCUACCUUAUUCUAUUUCCCAAGCCAUCAGCCUUGCUAAAUUGGUCAAAGAUAAGAUUCACAACUCUAAAGACAAACCUUUUCGGCCAUUCACACACACUACCUCUACCUAGAAUACUUCACCACCCAUAACCCGUAGUCAUGCACUACCUACUCUCUCUCCCACCCUACCCCUGAAACAC